GAAAGAAAAGAGGGAAGAAAAAGAAGAAAAGGAAGGAAAGGAAAAAGAAAGGAAAAGAGAUUUUAAGGAAGGAAUAUAUAUGUUUUCAAGUCAAUAUUUUUGAAUUGGAGAUGCUAUUUACACUAAGGUGGUAACGUGAAAGCUGUGCAAGGCUGGUAAAAUUAAACCAGAUUGCUAUUCAUAGAUCUACAGAAAAUAGACAAAUUGAGCAGCUUUGGAGCAUGUCGAACCACUGAAUUGAGCCACGCGUCAUAUGUUGUAUGACAUCUUUUAUCAGAUUAUAUAUUGUGUUCUUUUGGGAUAUACAUAAGUUAAAUCAGAAAAGUUCAUUAUGGGCUCAUUAGAUAUUUGGUAUCUUUAGUACUUUUGAAGAUUAUUGGUUGUAAAUCAAGUAAAUAUUGAUUUCCUAGCAUUUUAUUUGAAUAGUUUGUAUUUUUGAGGGACUGGCAUACCCUGAUUUAUUUUA